AGAGUUUGAUCAUGGCUCAGAGCGAACGCUGGCGGCGUGCUUAACACAUGCAAGUCGAACGCGCAGCAUUCUGUAGCAAUACAGGGUGUGGGCGCGUGGCGAACGGGUGCGUAACACGUGGAUAACCUUCCUUGAGGUGGGGAAUAACCCAGUGAAAAUUGGGCUAAUACCGCAUAACAUCGCGAUGGCACAUGCUGAUGCGAUCAAAGGCGCAAGUCGCCACAAGAGGGAUCCGCGGCCGAUUAGCUUGUUGGCGAGGUAAUGGCUCACCAAGGCAAUGAUCGGUAGCCGGACUGAGAGGUUGGCCGGCCACACUGGAACUGAGACACGGUCCAGACUCCUACGGGAGGCAGCAGUGGGGAAUCUUGCACAAUGGACGAAAGUCUGAUGCAGCAACGCCGCGUGGGGGAUGAAGCUUCUCGGAGUGUAAACCCCUUUCGACCCGGAAGAAUGCCCGCAAGGGUAUGACGGUACGGGUAUAAGAAGCCCCGGCUAACUACGUGCCAGCAGCCGCGGUAAUACGUAGGGGGCCAGCGUUGCUCGGGAUUACUGGGCGUAAAGGGUCCGUAGGCGGUGUAGCAAGUCGAUAGUGAAAUCUCUGGGCUUAACCCAGAGGCUGCUAACGAAACUGCUGUGCUAGAGUGUGAGAGAGGCGAGUGGAAUUACGGGUGUAGCGGUGAAAUGCGUAGAUAUCCGUAGGAACAUCCGAGGCGAAGGCGGCUCGCUGGAUCACAACUGACGCUGAGGGACGAAAGCUAGGGGAGCAAACAGGAUUAGAUACCCUAGUAGUCC
rnacentral:rRNA from 1 species